rnacentral:rRNA from 1 species
UUCUGGUUGAUCCUGCCGGCGGCCACCGCUAUUGGAAUUCGAUUAAGACAUGCGAGUCGAGAGUCGCAAGGACUCGGCGGACCGCUCAGUAACACGCGGAUAACAUGCCCUUGGGUGGGGGAUAACCUCGGGAAACUGAGAAUAAUACCCCAUAGAUCUAAAAAGCUGGAAUGCUUUUAGAUCGAAAACUCCGGUGCCCAAGGAUUGGUCUGCGGCGUAUCAGGUUGUAGUGGGUGUAACGGACCCCCUAGCCUAUGACGCGUAAGGGCCUUGAGAGAGGGAGCCCUGAGAUGGACUCUGAGACAUGAGUCCAGGCCCUACGGGGCGCAGCAGUCGCGAAAACUUCACAAUGGGGGAAACCCCGAUGAGGGAAUUCCAAGUGCCAGCACAUUGUGUUGGCUGUUCUCUGGUCUAAAAAACCGGAGAAGUAAGGGGCCGGGUAAGA